GCAGUCGACGAUGAUGCCCAGCUUGCUGGGUGGAUUAGUGGCGAACGGGUGAGUAACACGUGAGUAACCUGCCCCUGACUCUGGGAUAAGCGUUGGAAACGACGUCUAAUACUGGAUAUGAUCACUGGCCGCAUGGUCUGGUGGUGGAAAGAUUUUUUGGUUGGGGAUGGACUCGCGGCCUAUCAGCUUGUUGGUGAGGUAAUGGCUCACCAAGGCGACGACGGGUAGCCGGCCUGAGAGGGUGACCGGCCACACUGGGACUGAAACACGGCCCAGACUCCUACGGGAGGCAGCAGUGGGGAAUAUUGCACAAUGGGCGAAAGCCUGAUGCAGCAACGCCGCGUGAGGGAUGACGGCCUUCGGGUUGUAAACCUCUUUUAGUAGGGAAGAAGCGAAAGUGACGGUACCUGCAGAAAAAGCGCCGGCUAACUACGUGCCAGC
rnacentral:rRNA from 1 species